AUCAUUCAGUUGGCACUCUAGGCGAGACUGCCGGUAAUAAACCCGGAGGAAGUGGGGAUGACGUCAAAUCAUCAUGCCCCUUAUGACCUGGGCUACACACGUGCUACAAUGGUUGGUACAACGAGUUGCGAGUCGGUGACGGCGAGCUAAUCUCUUAAAGCCAAUCUCAGUUCGGAUUGUAGGCUGCAACUCGCCUACAUGAAGUCGGAAUCGCUAGUAAUCGCGGAUCAGCACGCCGCGGUGAAUACGUUCCCGGGCCUU
rnacentral:rRNA from 1 species